rnacentral:rRNA from 1 species
UACCAGCACCCCGAGUGGUCGGGACGAUUAUUGGGCCUAAAGCAUCCGUAGCCGGCCUUACAAGUCCUCCGUUAAAUCCAGCUGCUUAACAGAUGGGCUGCGGAGGAUACUAUAAGACUAGGAGGCAGGAGAGGCAAGCGGUACUCAGUGGGUAGGGGUAAAAUCCGUUGAUCCAUUGAAGACCACCAGUGGCGAAGGCGGCUUGCCAGAAUGCGCUCGACGGUGAGGGAUGAAAGCUGGGGGAGCAAACGGGG